CAACAAGUUAAGCAAUAAGUACAAGGCGGCGAUGAGAGUUGCAAAUCGAUGACCGGCACUUCACAUUACAAAAUUUUCAUUCUUUUUUUUCCUGUCUCAUGUUCGGAUUUUGUUUCGAAGACAAAGAAUAAUCGAGUUUUGAUUGGGACCCUGUUGUGGGAGAAAUGGCUAUAUUUGAAGGGUACAAAAACUAUUUUGAGCAGCUAACUACACUUGGAAUGAGUAGUUGCUUCUGCUUGAGGACGCCAUGAACAAGUUGCUCUGGCCCUGGCACCGCAGCCAUGGACAUGGUCCAGAAUCCGUGUGGCAGCAUGACAUGUACUCGGAUGCCUCUGCGAGAGGCGGCGGUGGCAGGAGGGUCUCGGCUAUUGAGACCGACACCAAGCUCUUCAUCGUCAAUUUGGACUUCGGCGUUUCAACCGAGGACGUGAAGAAUGCUUUUGCAGUUUCCUGUUCAUAGGGUGCUCUUAAUUAGUGAGUUAUUUUUUCUCUGAAUGGUUAAGCGAUCCGCGAUUCACUAUGAAUGAAGUGGGAGGUCUAAGGGAACAAGUAAGGUUAUAUUGCAAGGUGUGAUGAUGCUGGCCGUUUGGAGAAUGUUCAACUUUUAUAGACCUAUUAGCUUGCUAUGCUUGACGACUAAACGCUUUGCUGCUGCACUUCUAUUAUUUAUAUUCUUUUUUGAACAACUAACGCUCAUCUGUGUUGUAUAUGAGUGAACACUGCAAUGAUCUAUUUCA